GUGAGGAAUUUUCCGCAAUGGGCGAAAGCCUGACGGAGCAAUGCCGCGUGAAGGAUGAAGGCCUAUGGGUUGUAAACUUCUUUUCUCAGAAAAGAAUUAUGACGGUAUCUGAGGAAUAAGCAUCGGCUAACUCUGUGCCAGCAGCCGCGGUAAGACAGAGGAUGCAAGCGUUAUCCGGAAUGAUUGGGCGUAAAGCGUCUGUAGGUUGUUUAAAAAGUAUUCUGUCAAAGAUUAGGGCUUAACCCUAGAUAGGCAGAAUAAACUUUUAAGCUAGAGUUUGGUAGAGGCAGAGGGAAUUCCCGGUGGAGCGGUGAAAGGCGUAGAUAUCGGGAGGAACACCAAAGGCGAAGGCACUCUGCUGGGCCAAUACUAACACUGAGAGACGAAAGCGAGGGGAGCAAAUGGGAUUAGAUACCCGUGUAGUCC
rnacentral:rRNA from 1 species